rnacentral:rRNA from 1 species
UUUAUGGAGAGUUUGAUCCUGGCUCAGGAUGAACGCUGGCGGCGUGCCUAAUACAUGCAAGUCGAGCGAACGGACGAGAAGCUUGCUUCUCUGAUGUUAGCGGCGGACGGGUGAGUAACACGUGGAUAACCUACCUAUAAGACUGGGAUAACUUCGGGAAACCGGAGCUAAUACCGGAUAAUAUUUUGAACCGCAUGGUUCAAAAGUGAAAGACGGUCUUGCUGUCACUUAUAGAUGGAUCCGCGCUGCAUUAGCUAGUUGGUAAGGUAACGGCUUACCAAGGCAACGAUGCAUAGCCGACCUGAGAGGGUGAUCGGCCACACUGGAACUGAGACACGGUCCAGACUCCUACGGGAGGCAGCAGUAGGGAAUCUUCCGCAAUGGGCGAAAGCCUGACGGAGCAACGCCGCGUGAGUGAUGAAGGUCUUCGGAUCGUAAAACUCUGUUAUUAGGGAAGAACAUAUGUGUAAGUAACUGUGCACAUCUUGACGGUACCUAAUCAGAAAGCCACGGCUAACUACGUGCCAGCAGCCGCGGUAAUACGUAGGUGGCAAGCGUUAUCCGGAAUUAUUGGGCGUAAAGCGCGCGUAGGCGGUUUUUUAAGUCUGAUGUGAAAGCCCACGGCUCAACCGUGGAGGGUCAUUGGAAACUGGAAAACUUGAGUGCAGAAGAGGAAAGUGGAAUUCCAUGUGUAGCGGUGAAAUGCGCAGAGAUAUGGAGGAACACCAGUGGCGAAGGCGACUUUCUGGUCUGUAACUGACGCUGAUGUGCGAAAGCGUGGGGAUCAAACAGGAUUAGAUACCCUGGUAGUCCACGCCGUAAACGAUGAGUGCUAAGUGUUAGGGGGUUUCCGCCCCUUAGUGCUGCAGCUAACGCAUUAAGCACUCCGCCUGGGGAGUACGACCGCAAGGUUGAAACUCAAAGGAAUUGACGGGGACCCGCACAAGCGGUGGAGCAUGUGGUUUAAUUCGAAGCAACGCGAAGAACCUUACCAAAUCUUGACAUCCUUUGACAACUCUAGAGAUAGAGCCUUCCCCUUCGGGGGACAAAGUGACAGGUGGUGCAUGGUUGUCGUCAGCUCGUGUCGUGAGAUGUUGGGUUAAGUCCCGCAACGAGCGCAACCCUUAAGCUUAGUUGCCAUCAUUAAGUUGGGCACUCUAAGUUGACUGCCGGUGACAAACCGGAGGAAGGUGGGGAUGACGUCAAAUCAUCAUGC